rnacentral:lncRNA from 1 species
GAUAACUGGUGUCUCAGGAAUCACUUCCUCUUUAGUUAAUGUAAGAUCUAUCUCCCCAUAAAAGGUAGUCCAACAAGGGCUGCAUGUCUUUACCUCUGCUUUCAACCAAGAUCCAUAACGUCCCGAUUUGUCUUGAGGAAGACCAGAUUCUUCGACGAUAAGUAUUUGUUGGCAAACCAGUAUUUGUUGGCAAACUGGGCAACCCAAGG